rnacentral:tRNA from 1 species
GGUUGUGUAGUGUAGCGGUUAGCACAUUGGAUUUUGACGCUGUUUCCGAACAAGCUCGAAACUUUCCAGUAACCCCGGUUCGAAUCCGGGCACGACCU